rnacentral:SRP_RNA from 1 species
GCUGGGUGUGGUGGCGCACGCCUGUAGUCCCAGCUACUUGGGAGGCUGAGACAGGAGAAUCACUUGAACCCAGGAAGUGGAGGCUGCUGUGAGCUGAGAUCAUGCCACUGCACUCCAGCCUGAGCAACAGAGUGAGACUCUGUCUUUA